UCCCUGGUGGCUCAGACGGUAAAGCAUCUGCCUGCAAUGAGGGAGACCCAGGUUCGAUUCCUGGGUCGGGAA
rnacentral:tRNA from 1 species